AGUGAACGCUGGCGGUAGGCCUAACACAUGCAAGUCGAACGGCAGCACAGGAGAGCUUGCUCUCUGGGUGGCGAGUGGCGGACGGGUGAGGAAUACAUCGGAAUCUACUUUUUCGUGGGGGAUAACGUAGGGAAACUUACGCUAAUACCGCAUACGACCUACGGGUGAAAGCAGGGGAUCUUCGGACCUUGCGCGAUUGAAUGAGCCGAUGUCGGCUUAGCUAGUUGGCGGGGUAAAGGCCCUCCAAGGCGACGAUCCGUAGCUGGUCUGAGAGGAUGAUCAGCCACACUGGAACUGAGACGCGGUCCAGACUCCUACGGGAGGCAGCAGUGGGGAAUAUUGGACAAUGGGCGCAAGCCUGAUCCAGCCAUACCGCGUGGGUGAAGAAGGCCUUCGGGUUGUAAAGCCCUUUUGUUGGGAAAGAAAUCCAGCUGGUUAAUACCCGGUUGGGAUGACGGUACCCAAAGAAUAAGCACCGGCUAACUUCGUGCCAGCCGCCGCGGUAA
rnacentral:rRNA from 1 species